AGAGAGUCUGUGACAGAAGCUCAGUAAGAGAGCACUGCUAGUGUGGAGGCCUUGGGUUCCACUCCAGCAGAAGAUGAGAGCCUCAGUUCUAGAUAUCCAGUGGAAAUGUUCAGUUGAAUACAUGAUUAAUCAAGAUUAUGAAGCCUGUUUUCAUUACUUCUCACUUGAAAAUCAAAGUGCUUUAUAAGACUUCUUACACAUUAUGUAAUGAUCUGCCUCAGCUCUUUGGAAAUGGCCCAUAGAACUGACCCCUCCUCAGGUACCACGGCUUUAACUCAUGUCAUUCAGCCCAGAAUUAUGUGGAUCAUGGAAAAAAGUUAUAAAAUCAAAAAUCUCACCAAUGUGUGAAAGAAAUGGAAAAUACAGCCAACACCUCCAAGAGCCCUGGGCCUUUCCAAGCUUCACCAUAGAAGCAAAC